rnacentral:rRNA from 1 species
UACGGAGGGGGCUAGCGUUGUUCGGAAUUACUGGGCGUAAAGCGCACGUAGGCGGACUGUUAAGUCGGGGGUGAAAUCCUGGGGCUCAACCUCAGAAUUGCCUCCGAUACUGGCAGCCUCGAGUGCGGGAGAGGUGAGUGGAAUUCCUGGUGUAGCGGUGAAAUGCGCAGAUAUCAGGAAGAACACCAAUGGCGAAAGCAGCUCUCUGGGACGGUACUGACGCUGAGACGCGAAAGCGUGGGGAGCGAACAGG